GCCUCGCGGGGGUUGGGCCGCGGGGACCCGGCGGCGGUUCCAGCAUCCGUGGGUCUGAGGGUCUGUGAGUCUGUCUGCUCCUGGGCCCGGGGGUACCUCCGCAGGGCCCACCCGUGGCUGUGAUGCGUGAUAGCCUGCCUGGUACGUGGUAGUGGUACUUCAGAGGUGGUCUGGGGACCUAUUGACCCAUAGCCCAGAUGAGUAGGAGCCAGGAGGACAUACGGACCCAUAACCCAGGUGUAUAGAAACCAGAAGGACUACAGAGCCAUCGUUCACAUGAGUAGGACCCAGAAGGUCCUACAGACUCCUAAUGCAGAUAAGGAGGAGCCAAAAAGACCUACAGACCCAUAACCUGGAUGUAUAGAAACCAGAAGGACCUACGGACCCAUAACCCAGACGAGUAGGAGCCAGGGGGACAUACGGACCCAUAACCCAGACGAGUAGGAGCCAGGAGGACAAGAGAAAUGGGAAUGUGGCCAUCAGCACACACAGCUGCCUCUUGCAGGACUCUGCACGCUCUUGUGAUGGGCAGUGGGGCACGGAGCCUGGGGAGCUGGGCAGUGCGAGCAAGCUGUGAGCUGUGGUGGGUUCAGCCUGCUGCAAGAGAAGUUCCUCAGGCCUCUGGGAGCUGAGCUGCAGCGCAUCUGGGGAAGCCUCACACCUACUCGCCCUCUCUCACGCUGCCUGUCCCUGUCCACGGGCUCCAGCCUGCAGGCAGCGCUGCUUCGGGGCUCCCUGGUUCCCAGCGCUUGCGUUGCUUUGGCAGGAAGUGACCAGCUGUUGUGCAGAAAGCUGGCCUCCAGCCAGAGCCCGAGUUCAAACACAGCCCAGCAAAUGGCCUUUCCCCCUUCCUCCGUGCUGAAAGCCUUGCUCACAGCCGUAAUUCUAUUUAUAAUACCCAGGAAAAGCAAGCUGAGACUUUCCCACAGUGCCUGCCUUGCAGGCGAUUGUUGUUCGGGAAGCUGGAAUGUACACGAUAUUAUUUUUGAAUCCCCCGGGAAGGAUUUCAUUGCGCGUCCCUUCGUGUCCCCAUCUGUGCCGAGGAACGUUUUGCUGAGCGCGAGGCCUUUGCUGCUGCUUGCAGCUCUGAGAAGCUUUGCUGAGAUGCUUUGGGUGUCUCUGUGCCUGCAGCACACAUGUGUCCGCCAUCCCCAGUGCUUCUGGGUAUUUUGCAGGGUGCCCAGAUGUGCUGCUAGGAUGGUGGUUCCACCCCUGCCUGCCCGUUCCCAAGGCACUUCUCACUGCCAGUGGGGUCUGUGGCACGUGUGACUCUUCCAUUUGCCAGCACUGCAAAGCAGUGCGCUGCUGUUGUUCUUAGGGCAUUUCUCUGCCCCUUUUUGCUGUCCUUGCUGUACAGCAGCGAGGCUUUGCUGGGCGCUGUCAUCCUGCUGCCUAGAGUGACAGUUCACUAGGCAAGCAGCUUCCCAGCUCCCAAAGCUCUGUGCGUUCUUUUAGCAUGCCAUCCCACGUGGCAGUCCAGCAGAGUGUGUUCCUUUCCCGGCCUGGGAACACUUCUUGUGCUGCAACCACCGUGAGGUAGGGCUGGCACCUCAGAGCUGCUUUGCUGUUUGUUGUGCCAGUUUUAGGAUUCGUUAUCCCAAAUUCCAGGUGAUGAUGUCUGCAGGCCUCGACGUUUAAGGGCCUGGCAGCCUCACAGUGCUGCCUGGGGUGGAAGAUGCCAGGUGGAGAAAGGCGAGGAGGAGAUGACAGGAGGACAACUGGUUGGUCACAGCCUUCCUGAACAUGGGACUGACAGCAGAGAUGCUACCCAGGUGUUCAGGCCUGCAGAGGACAGCAGGGUUCCCGUGGGAAGGGAUCGUCUCUUGAACGUUUGCUCUGCAUUCUUCCUUGGCAUCAGUCCUGGCCAUGAGUUUGUGUGAGAAACGGCCAUAAGUGCGUUCACCCUUCUGGCUGGCUCCGUGGCAAUGCAGUCACCAGCUCCCCGCCGACCUCGCAGCCAUGCAGCCUCGCAGAUAAGGAAACCCGUGCUGCUGCAGAGCUGGUUGUACUAGGGAAGCUGUAGCCUUUCCCUCUGCCUGCUCCCACAGUGAGUACCGCGUGCUUUUCCCUUGGCUGCGCCCUCACCAUCGCAACCAGAACCUCAGAGCCCUCAGUGCCACAUAGCUGUGUCGGAGGGGUGCUGUCUCAUGGAAAACAUUUAGGAUCAGAGCUUUCAAAUUAAAGAUAGAAAAAGGUCGGUAGCUUUCCAAGUAAUUAAUACCCUGUAGUUAUUUAAAACUGUCUUUAGAAAUGUGCCGUUCUGAACUUUCUAGGGCUGAGAACGUAUCUGGGAAUACAGUUAUGUCUUCAGCUGCAGCCUUUUCACCCUGCUUUUGUGAUUGCUCUUUUUCUGUUAGGAUCUUGUUUUGCCAGGGGGAAAAAAAAAUACAAAACGGAACGCUGCCAAGAAAUUUUGUUUUCAUACCUUGGUCCUCCCAGGCUGCCAGUUUGGCCUUCCUGUGCUGACACGUAUUGCAUUACCGGUGCUGCAGCACCAGCAGCGUUCCUGACACCUGGUUUUGGCUUCCCAUGUUUCUGGGUGAGCCGUGGAUGUGCUCAGGGAAGCCGGUCGGCCUGCAGGGCUGUGAGGCUGGAAUCAUGUCUCAGAGUUCUCGUGUGAUUGUCCACCUCGGGGAUGGGUUUUAAUGGCUGAAGCAAGCCAUGCUGAUACAGUUUUCUGCUGUUCCUUCGUAUUUCCAUCGCAGUGAGUUGAUUCCCUGGCAGACCUGCCUGGAGCUGGGGGUCAGAGCUGAGGCACGGUGCUGCCAUCCAUGUCCCUCUGUUUUUUAAUGAGCUCUGUCAGAAUUUGUUACUUAGCCAUUAAGUGGUGUCAGCGCAGAGUUCAUGCAUGAGCUAAGUUGAAAAUCUGCUAGGUGUGAAUUAGUGAUGAGAGAAAAGCAGGUCAAGGAACAUGUUGUUUCAGAGCACGCUGAGCUUCAAGCUUAGCAGAGGCGAUACUGGUGCAUCCAAGGUCUUGAGCAGGCAGAAAUAAGAACAUAGGCAGGAGAUGAGAGCAGGUGAUAAGACGUGGUAGCCCAUCCAUCGGUCCGUUGUGGUUCUGCAUGUCACCAACGAGCAGCGUGCUCUGAAGAUGUUCUGGGCCAGUCCCCAAGCCUUUGCAGACAUCAGAGGGCUCUGCUUGCAUCAGUGAGAUGGUCAUGGGUUCAGGUGCUGCUGCGAGAGACAUGUGGAUCCCCAGCAAUCCUGCACAGUGUCAGGAUGGGUUGCCCUGCAAAGGGAGGCAGGGUUUUACCUCAAGUACUGGAAAAAGACACUUCCUCCGCCUGUGAUCACUUGGCAUAGCACCACCUGGAAAUGAGGUGUGAUGGAAAAAAUAAGCCACGAAGAACAAAGCCUACAGCAAAGGCAGGAAUGUGUAAGUGAGAGGUUCGGGCAUGUGGCUCCCAGCUUGUGGCUGCGUCAGCUCGCUUCCCUUGGUCAAAAUAAAGGUGUCUGAGUUUCUCUGCCUCUGUUUGCUGUGAUGGGAGGAUGCUCACUGCUUCUUUUCUGCGUCAUCUUGGCCUCCCUGUUCCUCUGUGCCCGGAGCCCUUUUCUUUGGCUGCUCAUGGUGUCGGAUGCUCGUGGUUCGUGCUGUAGGAUACAGCCAAGCCCUCUUGGUGCAGGCUCUGGUGGAUGGCACCGAGUGCCAAAAACGAGCCCUGGGGAAACAUCUGAGGACAAAUUGCUAAUGAAGAGAGAGGAGUGCUUUUCUGGAGGGACCCGCCUGGGGAAAGGAAGGCCUUUGGGGAGCUAAAUAUUGUGUUUAAAACAUAAAGGCAGGAACAUGCUUCCCAGCGUGCAGACAAGUGGCAUGCAAGCUGCCUUGUUUUGUGGCACACCGGUAGGUGCAAAGGAAAUGCUGUGGCUGAUAGAAAGCAAAAGGGCUGGUGGAUGUGACAUGGAAAGCAGACGGGCUGUGAGGAGGUGUCUUGCUCUGACACACUGCACAUCUGAAUCCAGCUAGGUCUUCGUAUUGAUUUUUGUAAAAGCCCUUCCAAUUACUUUUGCAAUGAGCUCAUUCCUUCUGGCACAUCUCCUCUCCCUUGUUCAUUUAACACAGGCUUUGUCGCACCUCUCUUCAGCCCUCUGCGUGUGAGCUGGGAGCAAGCAGCUCUGUUGUUGUCCUCAGGGAAAACCAGGCACCUUUGGGGCAUCUCGUCUUGGCUGCUUUUCAGCGCUGCGUGACAGUGGGUUGAAUGGAGCCGGAGGUGUUUCUAAUAGAGCUGUCUGAAGUCAGCCAAAAUACAGCUGGCGUGCUCUGCACCGGCACAGCAAGGCUCGCUCAGAAGCUGCCUUUCCUUUUGUUUCGGUGUUUGGGUUCCAGGCAUGUUGUGAAGUGAUGCUGGAGGCUUUGCCUUGGCUGUUGGCUGGGCAGCCUGGUGGUCCAGGAGCGCAGAUUUGCUCCGGGCUGCAAAGUGCCUGCUUGCUGAAGCUUCUGGAAACAAAGAGCUGAGGAGCUCACAGACCUGUCCAGGCAAAACACCUCCUCUGUUUGCUCUAAUAAUACUGUUUUUCUCAAUUCUACACCCCCAAAACAAUGUGUCUGGGCCUGUUUUAAUCCACUGGAUCACUCGGAGGCUACAGCUGAGGUCUGGUAUCCGGAUGUUUCCCAAACCUGAUCCUGCCCAUGUCCCAUCCUGCGGGCUGCUGGAAGAGGAAUUUGCAGGCUCAGUGAAACUGCUCAGGUCUCCCCGCUGAGGCUGACUAUGUGUUCACCCUCCAGACUGCUUGGGAACGAAGGCAAAGAGAAGAACAUUGUCCCGCAAAGCCACGUGCCUCGCUUGCAGUCUGGGAGCUGAGGCACAGCUUCUGACUUUGCUCUGCAGCCCCUGUGUCCCAACCACAACCCAGGACACUGAUCAACCUGAAGCUGCUGGUUUUCUUGUGAUGGGCUCCUGUAUGCGUUCCAAAUACUGUUGAGGCUGCUCUGUGGGUAUUUUUAGUGUGCAUCAGGUGCCAACGAGGAAAACAAAAGCCUCUUCUUCAUGAGCCCACGUCUGCAGUUAUUUCCAGUGCCUGUGUCCUCGUGUGCAUCCUGCAGCCCUUGGGGCUCCGACAGCAGGCACUGAGAAAAACCAAGCUUGGGAAAAAUCUAAAUACUUCCCAAGGAAGAACUUCAGGAAAUGCCCAUCAAACAGCUGAGCAGGGGAUUCCUGAGCAGGUUUCCUGUGCUUCUUUGAAAUGCUGAUAAAAAGCUUCGUGAGAUACCUGCACAGAGGAAUUUCCCAAACAGGGCACUGAAAGCUUCACACCACAAUGUAUGCGUGAUACUGGAGCUCCCACACGUGCUGGGUGUUUGGAUAGCGUUCUUAGACCUGCUGAAACCUGCGUAAUGUAGUAAUUAUGGGCUGCUAGCUGUUGAAAGGACUCGUGAAGCUACUCCAAGGGGCAGCUGUCACCUGGGUCCUUCGGAUCCCAGCUCAUGUUUGCCUCUGCACGUCCUCAGCAUGCAAACAGGGCUGAGGGAAAGCACCCUGCCUCCUCCUGUCCCUGGGUGCAGGAAUGGCAAUGGCCGGCAGCACUGACAUCUGCCUCCUGGUGUGACCCCAAGGAUGUGACUUUGGGACAGAACCAACAUGCAGCCAGGCACCCCUGAAAUGAAGCAGGGUUAUGGGAUCCAGCUCUGGCAUUAGUGUGCAGUCCUGAACAUCUGCACCAACAUUUGUGUGCCCAGCCAUCAUUGCAGCACCUGUACCCAUCUGAGCUGGCGCUGGCUGCAGCAUGAAGCCAGGUGAAGGGGUGGGUUCUUUGGGACUGGCAAAAUAUCCCAUGUGCCUUUCAGUGUUUUCCUCUUUUUUUUUUUUUUUAAUUAUGCUUGGAGCCUCUUCUGAACAGUAAAACCUAAAAAAUAUUUGGGAAAAUAUUAAUGUGUCACUUUUGGAUCUGACAGUGUUUGUUUGUUUGCUUGUUUUUGAGGGUAGCAAUUUACAAAGUCCUGCUUUUGGGUCCUUCCUUCCCCACAUCUCUGCUGGGAACUGCCGGUGCCCCCAUCCCACCACGGGAGCCCUGGGCUGGGAACACAGCAGUGCCUGCUGCUGGGGAGGUAACACUGCGAACCAGCCUGCGCAUCUUGCAGCCUCUACAAUAUUGCCAAACCUUGUAACACAGAACCAGAUCCCUUUCCAAACCAGCCCCUUGCAGCCCUUCCUUCCUCUCCAAACUGCACCAAUCUCCAGCCAGAGCGAGCCUUGGGUCUGCCCUGCUUCACCCACCUCGUCGCUUCUGUCCCUGCCUCGCAUCUCCCCGCAGCGGUGUUCCGACGCCUCGCCUCUCUCCCGCUGGCUGAGAGCAGCGUGGAUUUCCUUCCAGCGUGACGGUUGGGGUCACUCUUUCACAACGAGCGCUUUCCUCCCGGUACGAUCAGCUCAGCGUCGCGUCCCGCUGACGCCCAACCAGGAUUUCAAGCUUUUGGGACUGCCUUCCCUGGAAAAAAUUAGCGACAUGUUUGAUUUUAAAUAGCGGAAGCGUGCGGGAAUAAGCUUUUCUGUGUGGGUUCGGAAGUUUGCUAAAACACUCAAUGAGCUGCCUGGAUUUCUCUGAGUCUGGAUCCGGUGAGGGAGCUGGGAUCUGUUCACUGUGCAGCACUGCGCAGCUCACAGUGACUGGAUCCAUCCCCUUGCCUCCCACUGUGGCCCUUGUGCCCUCCUGGGUAUCCCGAAGCUGGGGGAGAGCUGCCUGCUGCCUCCCUAGCGCUCUCCCCAUCC